GAGUGGCACCAUUGUGGCAGAGAAAGGGACUGCCAGCCAUCUGGUCCUGGAAAGAGCAGGAGGGACAGAAUCUGGUGUGCAGAGGGAAGAAAAGCACAUCGAACAAACUCCCUCAGGGAUACAAAGUAUGACUUCAUUCAUUUAUGGAUAGGGUCAUGUAUAUCCCUGGCUGACCUGGGACUCACUAAGUACAUAACUCAGGAUGGCCUUGGUCUUCUGAUCCUUGAGGCUUCUGCCUCGAGUGUGCCACAUGCAGUGUAUGUGGUUCUGGCUAUCAACCUCGGGGCUUUAUGCAUACCAGACAAGCACUCUACUCACUGAUUUUAUUUUAUUUUAUUUUUUUAUCACUCUACCUUCCUUUAAAA
rnacentral:lncRNA from 1 species